UACGAAGGGGGCUAGCGUUGCUCGGAAUCACUGGGCGUAAAGCGCACGUAGGCGGAUCGUUAAGUCAGGGGUGAAAUCCUGGAGCUCAACUCCAGAACUGCCUUUGAUACUGGCGAGCUAGAAUCUUGGAGAGGCGAGUGGAAUUCCGAGUGUAGAGGUGAAAUUCGUAGAUAUUCGGAAGAACACCAGUGGCGAAGGCGGCUUCCUGGACCAGAGCUGACACUGAGGCGCGAAGGCGUGGGGAGCGAUCCGG
rnacentral:rRNA from 1 species